UCUUAGUGGCGGACGGGUGAGUAACGCGUGGGUAACCUGCCUCACACUGGGGGAUAACACUUAGAAAUAGGUGCUAAUACCGCNUAAAAAGAGAGAGCGCAUGCUUUCACGUUUUAAAAACUCCGGUGGUGUGAGAUGGACCCGCGUCUGAUUAGCUGGUUGGCGGGGUAGAGGCCCACCAAGGCGACGAUCAGUAGCCGGCCUGAGAGGGUGAACGGCCACAUUGGGACUGAGACACGGCCCAAACUCCUACGGAAGGCAGCAG
rnacentral:rRNA from 1 species